rnacentral:misc_RNA from 1 species
GGGAUCAUUACCGAGUUUACAACUCCCCAAACCCCUGUGAACAUACCACUUGUUGCCUCGGCGGAUCAGCCCGCUCCCGGUAAAACGGGACGGCCCGCCAGAGGACCCCUAAACUCUGUUUCUAUAUGUAACUUCUGAGUAAAACCAUAAAUAAAUCAAAACUUUCAACAACGGAUCUCUUGGUUCUGGCAUCGAUGAAGAACGCAGCAAAAUGCGAUAAGUAAUGUGAAUUGCAGAAUUCAGUGAAUCAUCGAAUCUUUGAACGCACAUUGCGCCCGCCAGUAUUCUGGCGGGCAUGCCUGUUCGAGCGUCAUUUCAACCCUCAAGCACAGCUUGGUGUUGGGACUCGCGUUAAUUCGCGUUCCUCAAAUUGAUUGGCGGUCACGUCGAGCUUCCAUAGCGUAGUAGUAAAACCCUCGUUACUGGUAAUCGUCGCGGCCACGCCGUUAAACCCCAACUUCUGAAUGUUGACCUCGGAUCAGGUAGGAAUACCCGCUGAACUUAAGC